rnacentral:rRNA from 1 species
AAAAAGACUCUCGACAACGGAUAUCUCGGCUCUCGCAUCGAUGAAGAACGUAGCAAAAUGCGAUACUUGGUGUGAAUUGCAGAAUCCCGUGAACCAUCGAGUCUUUGAACGCAAGUUGUGCCCAAAGUCAUUAGGCCGAGGGCACGUCUGCCUGGGCGUC